rnacentral:rRNA from 1 species
UACAGAGGGGGCGAGCGUUAUUCGGAAUUAUUGGGCGUAAAGGGCGCGUAGGCGGCCUUUCAAGUGACGGGUGAAAUCCCUCGGCUUAACCGAGGAACUGCCUGUCAGACUGGAAGGCUUGAGACCGGGAGAGGUGAGUGGAAUUCCCAGUGUAGCGGUGAAAUGCGCAGAUAUCAGGAGGAACACCGGUGGCGAAAGCGGGUCUCUGGGCAGUAACUGACGCUGAGGAGCGAAAGCGUGGGGAGCGAACAGG